rnacentral:lncRNA from 1 species
UGGCAGAGGAAUAUUGUUUAGGUUAAUUAGCUAUAUUGUCUUGUUAUAAGUAGUGUCAUGAACAUCAUCUAGCGGGUUAGGAUAAUUAGUUUGUUUUUGUCUUGGACACAAAAUUUGUCUUGCUUCUUUGUUUGUUUUGUGAAGGAUGGGAGACUAUGUAAUUUGAUGGUAUUUAUUGGCCUUCUUUGUGCCUUUUUAUAUCUUUAUUAAUAUAACUUUGCCUUUUGUAUUA